GGUUGAUCCUGCCAGUAGUCAUAUGCUUGUCUUAAAGAUUAAGCCAUGCACGUCUAAGUAUAAAUAGUAUACAGUGAAACUGCGAAUGGCUCAUUAAAACAGUUAUAGUUUAUGUGAUAAUACAAACUACAUGGAUAACCGUAGUAAUUCUAGAGCUAAUACAUGCUAUCAAACCCAACUUUUCGGAAGGGUUGUAUUUAUUAGAUCCCAAACCAAUGUUCCUUCGGGUUCAUUGUGAUGAUUCAUAAUAACUUAGCGGAUCGGAGCUCGCCUCCGACGCAUCAUUCAAGUUU
rnacentral:rRNA from 1 species